rnacentral:rRNA from 1 species
UUGAACGCUGGCGGCGUGCUUAACACAUGCAAGUCGAGCGGUAACAGGCCCGCAAGGGUGCUGACGAGCGGCGGACGGGUGAGCAAUACAUAGGAAUCUACCUUAGAGCGGGGGAUAGCCCGGGGAAACCCGGAUUAAUACCGCAUGAUGUCGCAAGACCAAAGUGGGGGACCGUAAGGCCUCACACUCUGAGAUGAGCCUAUGUCGGAUUAGCUAGUUGGCGGGGUAACGGCCCACCAAGGCGACGAUCCGUAGCUGGUCUGAGAGGACGAUCAGCCACACCGGAACUGAGACACGGUCCGGACUCCUACGGGAGGCAGCAGUGGGGAAUAUUGGACAAUGGGCGAAAGCCUGAUCCAGCGACGCCGCGUGGGUGAAGAAGGCCUUCGGGUUGUAAAGCCCUUUAAGCCGGGACGAAAAAUCGGCGAUAACAUCGCCGGUCUUGACGGUACCGGAA